UUUAAAGAGAGUUUGAUCCUGGCUCAGGACGAACGCUGGCGGCGUGCCUAAUACAUGCAAGUCGAACGAACGGAGGAAGAGCUUGCUCUUCCAAAGUUAGUGGCGGACGGGUGAGUAACACGUGGGCAACCUGCCUGUAAGUUGGGGAUAACUCCGGGAAACCGGGGCUAAUACC
rnacentral:rRNA from 1 species